GGGCCGGGGCGGCUGUCCGGGAGGAGCGGGCACCGGGGACGUGAUCGGGGGGAUGAAGCCGGGAUACGGGGUCAGCUUGAGGAAGACGACAGGGGACUGGGGGGCUGGGAUUAGGGACGAAGGAGACAUCAGAGAAGCGAGGACUGGGAUCUGAGACCCAGGAUGGGGAGGCGACCCUAGCGUCGCCUUUGGCUGACGCGACCUGAUGGCCACGCUGUUAGUCAAGAGGGGCAUGACUAGAGAGGCUGGUCGUAACAGGCACUUGGCGAAUCACUCAGACGUCAUAACAGCCGGCUGUGCUGUCACCGAGUCCCUGAGAUGUCAUCAAGCAGCCUCAUCGCCUAUGAACACGUCCGGGGCCCUGUGGGCUGAGGAGGGGACCCUGCCCCUGCUGCCAGUGGUACCUCAGCCCCCCUCCCAAAGGGAGUGAUGUAUUUCCAUCCAAAUCCUUCAUCAGAAGGCUCUGGAAGGCACCUUCCUGGCUACCCUCCUCCUCCUCCUCCAGGCAGCCUUCCUUGAACUCUCCACUGCCCCCUCCAGUUCCCUGGGCUCUGGCCUUUUGCACCUUCCCUCUCUGAUCUGACCCUCUCCCGUGCUGUCAAUUGGGAAAAGCCUUCAAAGUCAGGCCCUCAAAAGGACCCAUCCCUGCGCCUCUUCAAGCCUGUUUUCACUUCUCUAAAAUGGGCACAGCAGUGGUGCCUGGCCCCCACGCUGGAUGGAGCGACGUGAGCCAGGUCACGUCUGUGAUGGGCUUAGCACAAGCCGGGACACUGUGACAGCCUAAUGAAUCCUACUGGCCAGAGUACACAAGAAAUAGUUAACAGUGAGAAGUGGGAUCAGAGGGACAAGAGAAAUUUACUUUUUCAAGGUAUACUCUUUUGUAUUUCUCAAUACAUUUUUCCAAAAUAAAAAACCUUUUUAUUAUUAUUUAAAAGUUACCAUCUCUGGACUGACUUUGAACCUUAUCUGGGCAUCCUCUACCCACACCUGCUCCUUCC
ensembl:lncRNA